GACGAACGCUGGCGGCGUGCUUAACACAUGCAAGUCGAACGGAAAGGCCCUGCUUUUGUGGGGUGCUCGAGUGGCGAACGGGUGAGUAACACGUGAGUAACCUGCCCUUGACUUUGGGAUAACUUCAGGAAACUGGGGCUAAUACCGGAUAGGAGCUCCUGCUGCAUGGUGGGGGUUGGAAAGUUUCGGCGGUUGGGGAUGGACUCGCGGCUUAUCAGCUUGUUGGUGGGGUAGUGGCUUACCAAGGCUUUGACGGGUAGCCGGCCUGAGAGGGUGACCGGCCACAUUGGGACUGAGAUACGGCCCAGACUCCUACGGGCGGCAGCAGUGGGGAAUAUUGCACAAUGGGCGGAAGCCUGAUGCAGCAACGCCGCGUGCGGGAUGACGGCCUUCGGGUUGUAAACCGCUUUGGCAUGUGACGAAGCGUGAGUGACGGUAAUGGGUAAAGAAGCACCGGCUAACUACGUG
rnacentral:rRNA from 1 species